rnacentral:rRNA from 1 species
UCUAAGUGACGGGCGGGCUUACACAUGCAAGUCGAGCGGAGAGAGGUAGCUUGCUACCGAUCUUAGCGGCGGACGGGUGAGUAAUGCUUAGGAAUCUGCCUAUUAGUGGGGGACAACAUUUCGAAAGGAAUGCUAAUACCGCAUACGUCCUACGGGAGAAAGCAGGGGAUCUUCGGACCUUGCGCUAAUAGAUGAGCCUAAGUCGGAUUAGCUAGUUGGUGGGGUAAAGGCCUACCAAGGCGACGAUCUGUAGCGGGUCUGAGAGGAUGAUCCGCCACACUGGGACUGAGACACGGCCCAGACUCCUACGGGAGGCAGCAGUGGGGAAUAUUGGACAAUGGGCGCAAGCCUGAUCCAGCCAUGCCGCGUGUGUGAAGAAGGCCUUAUGGUUGUAAAGCACUUUAAGCGAGGAGGAGGCUACUUUAGUUAAUACCUAGAGAUAGUGGACGUUACUCGCAGAAUAAGCACCGGCUAACUCUGUGCCAGCAGCGGGCGGUAAUA